UACAGAGGUCUCGAGCGUUAGGCGGAAUCACUGGGCUUAAAGCGUGUGUAGGCGGCUCGGUAAGUCCCUUGUGAAAUCCCACAGCUUAACUGUGGAACUGCUUGGUAUACUGCCAGUCUUGAGCCAGCUAGGGGCUACCGGAACAAAUGGUGGAGCGGUGAAAUGCGUAGAUAUCAUUUGGAACGCCAAUGGUGAAAACAGGUAGCUGGGGCUGUGCUGACGCUGAGACACGAAAGCCAGGGGAGCAAACGGG
rnacentral:rRNA from 1 species